GGCAAGCAUGUGAGGCCCCGUGCUGUGGGAGACGCCUUCAAGAGCUACCCUGUAUUGCUGGGACCCCAGUAUCUUACAGGAGCAGCUAAGGGAGAAUGUAUUUUGCCUCACAGAUUUGGUAGGUUUUAGGUCAUCAUGAUGAGGCAGGUUCCUGGUGGUAGGAGCAUGUGACAGACAGAGUAUUCCCAUCAAAGCAGGCCAGCAAGCUGCAGGGUUGAGCCCAGAAACAGGAUUACAACUUCAGAGUCCUGCCUUUUGUGACCUACUUCCGGAAGGCAGGCUCCACCCCCUAAAGGUUCCACAGCCUCCCAAACUAUGACCUCUGAGGAAUAGGUGCUAACCACACGAACCCAGGGGCAUGUUCGGAUUCAAACCAUAGACGGUCCUGAAACCGAGGUGCCUACCCGUGUGGCUAGCCUUCAUUACUGUCCUGCAGUUUCCAGAAGCUAAGAGAGAAUCCCUUUCCUUAGUGGGUGGUAAAAUCCAGCAGCAGACUAAGACACAGAAAAGGUCAAAGUCAAACUCUGACCCCCAGCAGUUGACCUUGAUGGUAGAUUGUCCAGCAGAUGACCUCGAUGGUAGAUUGUCUAGCAGUUGACCUCGAUGGUAGAUUGUCCAGCAGUUGACCUCGAUGGUAGAUUGUCCAGCAGUUGAUCUCGAUGGUAGAUUGUCUAGCAGUUGACUUGAUGGUAGAUUGUCCAGCAGUUGAUCUCGAUGGUAGAUUGUAUGGAUGUUGGGUUUGGAGCUGUACUGUGUGGGAUUGAAUUCCAGCUCUGCCAAAUUUUCACCAACUUUGGGAUUAGACCUUUCAGGGCCUUGGAUGAAUUCAGCGUCUCAGCUGAGGGGGUACUGUGUCAUAGAUGUGCCAUACACAUACUGGGUAUCUGGGUAUGCUUUAAUUAGAAAAAAAAAAAGGAUAUGAACACCAGGAAGCAGCAUUUAAACUUGUAGAUGAAAUGCUUUCAGAGGCCACCUUCAGUUACAGAGUUUGGCUGGGUCUUUUUCUGGGGUCCACUGGUGUCAUGACUGAGAGUCCUGUUCCCUCAACGUCUGUAUUCUUCUGUAAUAGUCACCACCAUGAGCUACAGUUCACUUUGGGGUUCCCCAGAGUUGAACUCUUUUGUAGAAGACUUUGCAUUUCUCUUGUGCUUGAGCACAUAGAUAAAGCCCAUUAAGGAAAUGGUCUGUUACAUUCUGUUCUGCUGACCGGACUUUUAUAGCUCUUGGUUUUGAAUGUACUUUGUCUGGGUUGGGUACUGGUUCCUAGUGUUUACCUAUGAGACUUCUAGGCAGUGUUAGGCAGUGUGCAGCCUCUCCUGCUCAAGGCCCCAAGUGCUUGCUUGGUGGGGUCAGGUGCCUGCCGUGCAGUGGAGUGCUCUCAGCCCAGCUGCUUGCUCUCCCUGGGGUUCCCCAUAGAGCACAGCUGGCAAGGAGGGGUGGUGCUGAGGGGGAGAGGCAAUUUUAGCUGAUAGGGCCAAUAUCGCAAGGUUGGGUAGUCCUAGGGUCCAUUGCUAUUGAGACACUUAAGUGUGGGUUCCUAGAUAAAGAAUGUUAUCUGAAUUACGCUAACCGUGCUCACACUGAGUGGUGAUCCUCCAGCAGCCAUCUGGUAGGCAGAAGCCUCCAGCCAUUUGAAAAUGUGUCCUCGUGAAGCUAAUUAGCAGUGGUUAGUGGCUCAGCAGUAACUCUGUGGGGAAAAUAUUAACUUCUCUGAGGGUAAUCCUGGGAUCCUGUGAGAGACAAUAACAUGUGGCGGGAAGGAAAGUGGACCUCAGUUCUGUUUUCUUUAGCAUUCUCUGUGGACCAUAUUCAAGAGCCUUUUGCUGUCCUACGGAAAGUGCAGGCUCUUUGGGGAUAGCUGGCGCUGACUAAAUGCUAUGUUUCAGUAGGAACUACAGGCACCUCUCCAGUGGGUUUUCUUUUUCUUUUUUAUACUUCCCUAUUCAUAGGUCAUGUUGCCACAGUUGCUAUAUAUCAGGCAUUGUGCCAAGCUCAGCCACUAUCACCCACUAGUGACACCCUUCAUGUGGGUGUGGCUUACCCAUUCCACCAAGGUAACUUUCUAGUCUUGAAAAUAAUAAUCAUAUAUUACUUACAAAUGAGGUAGUUCUAAUAACUAAAGUGUGACUACUGCUUGUUAAUGAAGUAUAAAGAUUCAUCUUUGGGCUUUGAGUAUAUCCAGAAACUAAUAGUACCUUUGUCCCAAGAGUCUCUAAUUCAUGACUGAAUAUUG
rnacentral:lncRNA from 1 species